UCCACCUCUUCCCAUUCCGAACAGAGAAGUUAAGCUUCGUCACGCCGAUGGUACUGCGUACAAGUGGGAGAGUAGGUAGUCGCCGUUU
rnacentral:rRNA from 1 species